AGACAAGAUCCUGCUCUGUUGCCUAGGCUGAAGAGCAGUGGCCCAAUCAUGGUUCACUGCAACCUCCACCCACCCAGGCUCCAGUGAUUCUUGUGCCUCAGCCUCCCAAGUAGCUGGGAUUACAGGCAUAUGCCACCACGCCUGGCUAUUUUUUUGUAUUUUUUGUAGAGACAGGUUCUUGCCAUGUUGACCAGGCUGGUCUCGAAUUCCUGGCUUCAAGCAAUCCACCCACCUUGGCCUCCCGAAGUGCUAGGCUACAGGCGUGAGCCACUGCACCCAGCCUUACUUCUUACAUAUCUGUGGCACCUUUGUCAAAACUAAGAAAUUGAUACUGGUUACAACGCUGGUUCUAAAGUAUAGAUUUAUUUGGAUUUUGCCGCUUUUUCCACUAAUGUCCUUUUUCUGUUCCGAGAUCCAAUCCAGAAUAUCAUGGUGCAUUUAGUCCCUUGAUUUUUUAAUGGAGAAAAUGGUACUGUCUGCAAAUAAUAACUGUUAGAUACCUUAGUUUCCAAGUAUUGUGUGUGUGUAGGUAUUAGGUGUGCAUAUACGUAUCUUCCUGCACUAGCUCGUACUGACCACUCCAUCCAGGCUCUUCUUGCUCUACAUCCUAUACUUCUCCCAUAAAUGUUGGUGCUUCCUUGGAUUAUGUCCUUUGCCCUUUAAUCUGCGCUGGCUACACACUUUUGAGAAGAUCGCAGCCACUUUACAUCUCCCUGUAGGGAUUAGGCACAGCCUGCACUCCCAAGGCAGCCACUGUUAGCUCUGAUUAUUACCUCUUUAUUUCUAAUAGAUUCCUUUUUUGAACUCUGGAUUCAUAUAGCUGACUGCUUUCUGGACAUCUCUGUCUGAAUUUUCCACAGGCAUUGCAAUUUCACUGUGUCUGAAGGGAACAUAUAUCAUUGUCUUCUCUUGCCAACUUUCCCCUCCUGCUGCUCCAACCACCUCCAAGUUAUCCAAGACAGAAAAACCUGGGACCUAUUUCUGAACUAUUUGCUUUAUUCUUUCCUCCCUUCUUCUCUCCUUCCUUUUUGCCCUCUUUUUACCUCCCUCCCUUCCUUCUCCUCAUAGCCCCUGUGAAUCCUGCUUCCUUCAUGUCUCCCGUAUUUGUUACCUUCUGUCCACUCCCACAGUUGGUGCUUCCUUGGAUUCUGUCCUUUGUCCCCACUGUUUCAUUAAAAGCUCUCAUUCUUUCAUGCUAUUACACACUACCAAACUCCUUAACAUAGUAUUCAGAGCCUCUGGUAUCUCCAGCCUCAUUUAGUCCCCCAUACCCCCUUCCACAACACACACAUACAUACCCCUACACUCCAUGCUACCUAAUUGCUGGAAGUUCCUUAGAUGUGCUAGGCUUUCUCUCCCUUUCUCCUUUGGAAGUUAUAUAAGAUGCUUUCUUUUUGUUCCCGUUCUUUCUUUUCCUUACUAUUGCUAAUUCUUUCAGUCUCCAAUCAUUUGUCACUGCUUCCAGGAAACCUCUCUGUUCAGGCUGGGUUAGAUGUAUUCUCUGAGUGCUCUCAAAGUAGCCUGUGUAUAUUUUUCUCAUGGCACUUACAGUAUUGAGCUUUAGUUAUCCGUGUACCAGUCCUCAUCGCCUCAACCAUGCUGUAUGUUCCUUAAGGCUAAAGACCAAUGUUAUAUUUUCCUUUGGGCUUCCUAUUGCUUAGCACAGUACCUGGCACAUAGCUGUUACCCAUAAAUGUUAAUUGAAUUAAUGAGUAAAUGUAUUCACCAUUUAUGGAAACACUGACUUGUCUGUUUCCAAAAACCAUAUUCUUUCACCAGGGACAGAUCUCUCUAAAUAUCAGCUUCCUUAUUUCUAAAUAGGGAAGGUGUACUGGAUGAUCCCUUACACUGCUGAUAAAUUGGUAUUGUAUGAUUCUAAGAUUCAUCAUCCUGGGGCAUAUACAAAAGAAAAUGAUGUGGAUUGUGGAAGAUAUUCCAAAAUAGGAGUUCCAAAAUAUUUUAAGCAAUGGUGGUAAUGUUGAAAUAAUAAUUUGGCUUUUUGGUCCUACUGUUUAACUAAUGUGUUGAGUGCCAAUGAUCUGAACACUUGAACAUUUAAGUGAUUUACUUAUGGUGAUCAGAGUUUCUAUUCCUUUGCUGACAUAUCUAAAUCAUUUUAGAAAGAUUGUGUCAAUUCUCCUUUGCUGAAGAUUUUCAAGUCAAAGUUGGACAGUUGUUUGUCAUGGAUAUUGUAGAUGUGAUUUAAGAUAUAAUUGUGUAAUGAUAAGGCUAAGUGACCACUAAGAUUUUGCUUUAUGAUGAGAUGCUUCAAUUUUGUAGUUUAGAGCUUUUGCUUUUAUGUUACAAUAUUUUAAAAAAUUGAAUUUAAAGCUUGGAUAACAUACUAUUUAUUUGUCUAAGUUUAGGUCUUAGUGGAUUUAAUAUCAACAUUAGAAAGUUACCAGAAGUCUAUGUUUAUCAAAAUUGUUGACUUCCAUGCAUCCAAAAACUGACUCUAGGGAGUCAUCUCCGGCUUGUUAAAAUGAGCUGGGUUAAGUCAGUGUCUAAAGUCCAAUUUAGAAAGGUCUCUUAGCACAGCCUUUUAAAAAAUUUAUAAAAAUGUAAAAUACAAACACAGAAAAUCACGUUUAAAAAUUUGUACUUUAGGGAAUUAUUCCUAUGUGAACAUUCUUAUAACUGUUGCUCAGGUCAUAAAACAGAACUUUGCCAGCCACCUCAGAAGCGUUCUAUGCCCUGUCUCUAUCACAGACUGUCUUCCCCAAUGAAAGUGUAGACUUAUUUCAGUCACUUCUUUAUUUUUCUUAAUAGUUUUUGUCAUAGAAAUAGGUAUUCUAAAAUAGUCUACUUUAGUUUGGCCUUUGAAAAUAUAUGAAUUUUUAGCUGUUUUCAUGUCAUGUCUUCCUUCCAUCCUUUUUUCUCCCUUGCAAUUACUUGCUAAAGAAAUUGGAUUGUUUGAUCUAUAGAGUUUCUCAGCCUGGGUUUUCUUGAUUGCUCUAGGUGUGUAGGACUUAAGUGUUUAGAACAGGCAUGGCUGUUUCAUGCCUCAGUCCUGGAAUGACAUUCUACCCAGAAUAUCAUUCUCUUUUGUCUCUCCCUUGCCAAUACCUUGCUCAUGUGGUUAUCUUCUAUCUAUACUCCAAAACUUAGCUCAAAACUCACCCCUCCUAGAAAUAUUCCCAGCCUUUUCAUUUAAUAAUGGAUAUGUCCUAUUCUGUAGUCUCCUAGCACCUGUAAAAAACUCCAGUAUGACACCAAUCACAUGGCUGCAAUUCUUUCUUUUUCUAAAAAUAUAUAUGUUUAGAGAUGUAUUGGAAGGAGUUGGCUUACACCAUAGUGGGGGCUGGUGAGGCAAGUCUGAGAUCCAUAGGCAGGCUGGCAGAACUGGCAGGCUAGAAUUCUCUGGCAUAGGCUGAAGUGGCUGUCCACAGGCAGAAUUUCUGCUGGGAAGCUUCAGCUCUGCUCAUAAGGCCUUUCAACUGAUUGAAACAGGCCUGCAACAUUUUCAAGAAUAAUGUUCUUUACUCGAAGUCAAUUGUUGAAACAGGCCUGCAACAUUUUCAAGAAUAAUCUUCUUUACUGGAAGUCAAUUGAUUAUGGACUUUAAUCACAUUUACAAAGUACCUUCACAGCAACACAUAGAUUAGUGUUUCAUUGAAUUACUGGGGACUGCAGCCUAGCCAAGUUGAUACAUUAAAAAAAAAUCACACUGCAUCUUUUGAUUUUCUUUCUGAAUCUCUGCUUUUCUUUUUCCUAAUUUUGGCCUCUGUAAACCUUUCAUUUUUUUCAUGCUUUAGCAUUGUGAGGGACUUAAUACUGGGAUAUUUUUUCACAAUAUCUUGUUCACCAUCUUACCUGUCACUCUUUUCCCUGAGGUACUUUGAUCCAACAGACAUUCACUCGAUUCUGUUGUGUGUCGGGCAGUGUGCCACUGCUAGGGAUACAGAAAUGGAUAAGGUAUAGUUCCCUACCCUCAAAAAGCUCACCGUCAGUUGGUGGGGGACAGACAGGUAUGGUAUAAAAUUACUGUGAGUGGUAUAAAAUUACCUGAAGGCAUAAAAUAUCCAGCUAGUGUUAAAAUUUUCCUGAUGGUCUCAUAUUUUCUUUACAGUUGGUUUAUUCUCCAUCAGAAGUUGAACAAGGUUCACAUAUCCCUUUUGGGUGAUACGUCUCCAAACUCCCUUUAUAAUUGAGAAAUUCUCUCUUUUUCCUUGAACUCAUGAAUGUGCGUAUUUUCAGUCAUGUUUAAUAUGAUGCACAGUUGGUAUUUUUAUUCUAGAUUGCUUUAAAGUUUUAACAAUGCUAACAUUGUUACAUAUGGAUGUAACAAAGUUAACUCCCUUUUUAAUUGAGAAAUUCUCUCUCCCUCCUUGAACUCACUCAUGAAUGUGCUUAUUUUCAGUUGUGUUUAAUAUGACACACAGUUGGUAUUUUAUUCUAGAUUGUUUUAAAGUUUUAACAAUGCAAACAUUGUUACAUGCUUAUUAUAAAGGUAACAUGCACAACUGAGAAAAAAAUUUAAAUAUCACAAUGCAUGUGGAAGUAAAAUAUCAUUUUUAUCUCAUUAUCCCCAAAUAAUUGGUAACCCUUUGGGAUUGUUUCCUACUAAUCUGUACAUAUUCAAAUGUACAGUUUUUACAUAUUAAAUAUUCCCUGUGCUAUUACUUUGGGUUUAAUUUGCUCUUAUUUUUCUAGAUCAUAAUGUAGAAGCUUAGAUUUUUAUGUUUUGUUUAUCUAAUACAAAUAUUUAAAGCUGUAACUUUCCCAUUAAACAUGCUGAGUUUUCAUUAUCAUAAAACUAGAAAUAUUUUCUAAAUUUCUUUGUGAUUUAUUUUCUCUGUUUUUUUUUGUUUGUUUGUUUGUUUUGUUGUUGUUGUUGAGACAGGGUCUUCUCUGUCAUCCAGGCUGGAGUGCAUUCGUGCUAUCUCGGCUGACUGCAACCUCCGCCUCCCAGGCCCAAGCAAUUCUUGUGCCUCAGCCUUCUAGGUAGCUGGGAUUACAGGCGCAUGCCACCAUGCCUGGCUAAUUUUUUUUAUUUUUUGUAGAGUGGGGUUUUGCCAUGUUGGCCAGGCUGGCCUCGAACUCCUGAUCUCAAGCAAUCCACCCAUCUCCCAAAGUACUGAGAUUAUAGGCAUGAACCACCACGCCUGGCCUUCUCUGUGUUUUAUUUGGAAAUGCAUUGCCUAAUUUCCAAAUAUUUGGGGAUUUUCCAGAUAUCAUAUUGCUAACAUUUCUACUUUAAUACAUCAUAUGAUUUCAGUCAUUUCAAAUGUAUUGAGGCUUGUUUUAUGGUCAAGCAUAUAAUUUAUUCUUGGGAACGUUCUAUGUGCCCUUGAAAAGAAUGUAGAUUCUGCAGAUGUUGGGUGUAGUGAUCUUUAAGUGUCAUUUUGGGCAUAUCUGCAUGCAAAAGAAUGAAGUUGUGCCACAUACCACAUACAAAAAUUAACUCAAAAUGUAUUAAAACCUAAAUAGAAGGGGUAAAACUAAAACUUGGAGGAAUGCAUAGGUGUAAACCUUCAUGACCCUAGAUUAGGCAGUGAUUUUUUAGAUAUGACACCAAAAGUACAAGCAACAAAAGAAGAACAUUGAUAAAUUGGACUUCAUGAAAAUUUAAAGUGUUUAUGCUUCAAAGGACAACAUCAAGAAAGUGAAAAGAGGCCGGGCGCGGUGGCUCAU
rnacentral:lncRNA from 1 species